GCCGGGGUGGCCCAGUCUGGAAAGGCGCAGGCCUGGAAAGCCUGUUCUCGCAAGAGAUCGGGAGUUCAAAUCUCCCUCCCGGCG
rnacentral:tRNA from 1 species